UCUCGAAUAUAAUAAUAAUACUAAUAAUUUAGCUUUCUUUUUGUUUGUUAUUAAGAAAGAAAAAAAACAAGGAAAUCGAAUACAAAGUCUUUCAAAAAAAAAAGAAGAAAAACCGAAACGAGAUGAUAAUCUUACGUCUUUUUUUCUGUCUAAAAAUAAAUAACGAAAUGAUAAAUUUAGCAUUUUUCAAUAGGUACUAACGGGCAUUAUAGAUGGCCGCAGUAUGUUAGAUUGGAUGUAUUUCAUAUAUGUUUCUGUUCCGAAAAUAGAAACAAAAAUUAAUUAAGAGGAUGCGCUACGUUGGUGAUAGGUUUACAUUUAUUUAUAUGUUACGUUUUCUUCGUCUUCGCCUCUUCCAUCAUUUUUAUUAGCCAAUCUAUUAUGGGGCGACGAUAUCUUCAAGCUUAUUAAAGUCUAUUUUCGAGACAAUCCCCCCAUGUAGUUUCGAAACUACUGUGUUUCCAUGACGAAACACGGCAUCUUUUUAAGAGUCCCACAUAUCGUUACACAUUUUAUGUUUUUUGCACCACCACCACCACCGUUAACACAGACGGAACGACAUCAACAUCUCAAGAAAACUUUCAGAUUAAUUUUUUUCGCUUUGACUUUUGUCCACAUUUCACAUCGACUCGACUCAUUUAAUUACGAUUCUUUAUGAGAUAUGAAUGGUUUGUUCGAUGGUGAUAGCUGGAUGUAGGGAGGACGAUUCUUUUUUUCUUUCUUUUCAAAUUGCGCACAAUGUGUGAAAGUUACAUUCGGUAAAUCAAGGUCUCGCGCUUAGAGAAAGUUUUUUUUUUGUUUUGUUUGUCUCACUAUGUGGUGUGGACACCCUCCAAUUUUCUUAGAAUUAAUCUAUUUACGCAUAGGUAGAUAUAAUCUUGUCAUAAUGAAUGAUCAGCUUUAUCAUAUAUAAUACCAAUUGCAAGUAGAACACGUCGAUGAAUCAAAAUAUAGAACCUCCGGAACCCUUCUAACUUUUGAAGUCGAAUCUAUCAUUUAACAGGGCCGAACUGGGUCACAAAGUCUUCGGGCGUUGUAUGAAGAUAAUUAGUAAAAAGCCCGUCGUUGCUCUUCAUUCAUACAAAAAUCAAAAGCACUUGCAGCAGCCCAUAUAGCCAGUCCGAGUCUGUUAUUUAAUAAGUGCAGAAUUUCCGGUUCUUUCAAGUAUAAGAAUUUUGUUAAUGCAAAUAUCUAUCAGUAAAUCAGGUGUUAGCACAAAUUUUAUCGAUAAAUAAUAAUUUAAAUUCACAACACGCCCCUACCCAGCUGAAGCGAAAAUCCAGUCUAACCAACCUUUCUUUAACACAUAAAUUUUGAUAAAAUAAUUUAAAAAAAAGAAAAACAAACCGAAAAAACAACAAAUCCAAAUAAUUUCCAGGAAGUUCCCUCAAAUCAAAUAACUCGAAAAUCAAACGAAUCAUCGCCAUUACAGUGAAAAAUCAACUCAACAGAAAACCACACACCAAUAACACAGUCCAAAGUGUGUUUUUGGGGAAAAUUUGUAUUUUAAACGGAGGGAAAAAAAACUCUUUAAUCGAAUUCGGUUCAACUGAUAUGAUAUGCGACUUUUCGAUGGGAUUAUUAUUCCGAAUUAAAAUUCUCUAAAAAUUUUUGGAAAAUUCAAUCGCAAAAUAGAAAAUCUGAAUCAUAAAAUUCUUUAAAGAAAAUUACAAAAUUCCUUUAAAAAAAUUGUUUUGUCGAUUUUCCCAGCCCUUUAAUUCUGAAUAAUAAGCCCUGAAGCACGCAAGAAUUAGUUGAAUACAUAACAGUGGUAACGAUAAAUGGAUUAUGUUAUUGUGUCGACAUAUUUUGCAUUUUAUUAAACUUGUACAAGUCAUCUAGUCUCACGCAUAUAACAUUAAUAACCACAUCCUAAUUCCAUCAAUUACAAAUAAAUUUCGAUUAAAAACACGAGUCGAUCCCGAACGUAGCGCAUCCCCUUAAUAUAAUAAAUAAAUUAAAUCCGAUUUAAACUGGAAAACAUGGCUUUAGUGGAAAGGGUGUUACCAAAAUAUUACACACACACACACACAUGAAAAUUUACGAUAUUUGUUUUCUUUGUUAUAAUUAAAAUCGAAGCUUUAAUUAUUGCCAAAUAAUGUGAAACAAAAUGUUAAUUUUAUUUUAAAUAAAUGAAAAAAGAUUAAAAAAAAUUGCACCAAAGAGCAUAUUGUUGUUGAUGAUGAAUUUUAAUUGUAUUCAGUCGAAUUUUAUAUUUAAAUAAAAUCUCGAUUUUGUUCUAUACAUCAAAAAAGAGGAAAAUUUUAUUUUUUAUUUUUGUUGUAAAAAAAAGAUGGGAAAACAGAGAGAGAUAGAUAAUUAUUAAUUGCUUAUUUACCAUUUCCAUGUCAAUAGUAGUCAUAACAUAAAAACAUAACAACAAAACAAACAAAAAUAUUUAAAAUAAAUAUUAAUUCCCCAAAGAGCAUUUAUAUUUAAAAAAAAGGAAAAAAAUAAAAACAAAACCAAUGAAAGAUAGAGAAAAACGAAAAGGAAGCAAAGGAGAAGAAAAAUGUGAGCGGUAGAUAAAUUUAAAUAAAAUGGUAAAUAAAAAUUGAAAGAUUAAAAAAAUUUGCAAAGCACAAAAACGAACUAUAAAAAAUUAUUUAUAAAUUAGUAAAAAUAAAAGUAAAGAAAAAAUGAGAGAAAAAAAAUUGUAAAUAAAUUAACAUUUAGAAUAAUGUAAUACGAUCUGACCAUAAAAAAACUUAUAAUAAUAAUAAAUUAACAAAAGAAAAUAAAGUCAAAUUAAAAAUCUAUAUUUUCUUGCAUCAUAGCAGUACAUACACUCAUUAAUAUGGAGAAAACUUUAUAGUUGUAACAUAUAAAACAACCAAAAAAAUGAAAGAAAAUGAAAGAAUUUGUCUACAAGAAAACUUUCUAAAGUUGAAGUAAAAAAGUUUAAUUUCCAAUUUCAAGUGUUGCUUUUGACAAUUUUAUCAAAUGAGCACAAGUAACUUCAGAAUAAUUAGCGAAAGACUCAUCAUGUAGAUAUGGAUCAUUGUCAAAUAGCGGCUCACGCCUGAAAUUGCAUGGAAUAUUUCGUAAUGGCGUCUCACCUACCAGAUGAGUUUCUAUAAUGUGUUGAGCAUAUUUGACAUCUCAAAUGAUAUUGACAGUGACAGUGAUCUAUUAAAGCCAGAAAAAUUAUAACAGAUGGCGUUGCUGCAACCUCACAGGAUAGAAUGCGUAUGACAGCAUUAAAACCCAUGAGUGUCAAGAAAAUGUGGUUAUCUCAUAAUGAAUGUACCAUAUUAUCAAAAAUAAUUAUUAGUCUUCUACUCGACGGAUUCGAGCCAAAAAAGUGGAAUUCUUUUUUUCCAAGGUUCUGCAAGAACAGGUUCCACUCAUUAAAAAUUGUGUAUAAAUUCAACUUGAACAAAAUAAUUUUUUUUAAUUUUUGUUGAGUUGAAAUCGUCAUAUAAAUUUUCAUCAACCUAGAUGGCGCCACAGAGAAAUAAUGGUCUAACGCCUUCGUGAUCAACUCAGAAGUGUCUUAACCUGUUCUUUCAGAAGCUUGUUUUUUUCUACAUGUCAAAGUAAAGAAAUUUGAAAUUUUGCGACGCUUUUUAAACAUCGAUAUCUUUUAUAAUAUUUAUCCAAUCUGGAAAAAAAUUGCAUGUUGGUAUUUGUGAGCAACCAAUGUCCAUAAAACUCAAAGUAAAUUUGACAUUACACCACUCCUACACACUUCGACAAAAAAUAUACGAAAAGUGCCGUGAUACGCAUUCUAUCCGGCUGGGGCCGGCGCAGCGUCAUCUCUUAUCAUUUCUCUGGUUAAAGCUAAUUGUAGAUAUAUAUAGAUCUGUGAAAGAAACAUAAUUCAAAAUUUUGUUUUGUUAUGCUGUCACACUUGACAGCAGAACGGAAGAAAAAUCUAAAUUGUGUUUCUAUCGCGUCGCUAUGUGUAACUCUCGCUUCGCUCGUGAUAGAUAUUCGUGUACUUAGCCUAAGUAAAUAAAACUGAACAAUCUGCCAAUGGUAAAUUACAAAGAAAAGCUAUUUUGUAGCUACACAUAUUAACGGGAAAGAGACCUAAUUAAAAUUUUUAUUUUGACUAGUACUUUGACAAAAGAAGAAACGAAAUUUUUGAAUUAGGUCUCUUUUACGUUGCUAUGUGUCGCCUCAGUUACUCCAUCCGAUGUUUUCGGUAUGUAAGCCAUGGCGAGCUGCCGCAAUUUGGGACAUUUGUAAUAUUUAACACAAUACCAUACAAACAAUACUAUUGAACGAGUAUAAAGGAUAUAAACAAACAAAAUAUUAUCAAAAUUACCUAACCAGACACAAUAGCAAUCACGUCAUGUUAUUUUUGAACAGUUUGUCAGGUGGUAAAAUGACUCCAAAUUUUAUCCAUCCAUGCAUACAAAAUUGCAUGUGGUGUGUGUUAUAACUCACACAAAGAAAACAUACCCCCUGUGCGAAGAAAAGCAGAGUCUUAUAUGAUUUUUCAUUAGACUCCAAAUGCCUAUGUUAGUGCUUGCAUAGGGAAAUGUUGUAUGGAAAUUAAAGCUCCAAUGUAAUAGAUUUUCGUAAAUUUCUAUUAUACAUUUCAAGUACAUUUCGUCAUAAAAUUACUAGUGUCAGCGAUCUAUUUUUUUUUAUAGAACCAACUUCACUGCUGUGAUAUCUCAUGGAUAUUUAUCAGAGUGAAGUUUAGUUCAUCUGAAAAUAGAGCGCAAAGAAUGAAGUACUGAAAAAUAAAUUGUGGCGCCUCUACAGGCCAACCGAGGCUUCCUCAUAGAGUUCAUAGAGAACUAACCAGUGCGUUAAGACUUUAGUGUAAAUGUUUCAUUCAUUGUAUUACUGUGUGUGUAAACUUACUGGGUUUUUGUAGAUUUCUUAGAAAAGGCUGUACAAAGAAAAACUGGAUGGUAAGUGAUUGACAAGUACUGGAAGACCACUCAAUCACGGUCUUGCACCAGAAACUGAAAAUUCACUUCGUCAUUCAGUUCAUAACUUAUCGGCAGGUACUGAGGUCUCUCGUUCACAAUAAAUGUUAGUCGAAUAAGUCAAAACAUCAGCGCAAAUAAUUAUUUAUUAAAAGGAACUCAACAACUAAGCUAAUUUGUAGUGAAACAAUUUUGUUCAUUUAUGAGUAUUUGGUUUCUGAUAUUGUGGCGCAUUUGCUUUUCGUAUUAACGAAUAGAUGGUCACAUAUCCGUGCUCGCAUGACUUAUCUUCAAUUUGUUCAACAACUUUAACAACAAAAUAUUUGGCAGCCCGCUUCCAAAAACGAUUUUCUACUCGUUUCCGUUUCUCGGCCGCAAUGAAUAUUUUAGUGCUACCCGAUUCGGUCAAUUCCACCAGUGUUUGGAUGAGAAUGUCGAAGAGUUCCUCAUAGUAAAUCACAUCCGAAGCCAGAAUGAAAUUUUGAUGCAAUAAAUCCGCGUUCAUAAUUUUCUCUCCCCACACCAAUGGUGCGGCUGUGAUGUUGUCGAUUCCGUUCUGAUUGACCUCGAUAUUUUUCAUCAUAUUCGGUACCACUUCGGCGACAUCGGUAACAGUAACUUGAACGUGGCGGCCAAAUAACUUAGAUGCGGCGAUUCCAACGAUACCUGUCCCGGAACCAAUGUCCAGUAUUUUUACCGGUCUGUCCAUUUCUAUCGAUAGAAAUUCACUUUGAUUGCAUUCCAAAUACCUCGAUAGAUACAGAGCUGAUGUCCAACAUCGAUAUCUUAGUCCUAGACUGGGAAAGGUGUAGAUGAGCACCGGUGCUAUUGAUUCGUCGGUGAAUUUGACUGUUUGAAUAAUUGCAUCUGAAAACCAUGAAAAAUUGAAGUACAAUGAGGAUUUAUUACAGCAAUGCCGGCUAACCCACCCACAGAACUUAAUUUUCUUUCUUCAGGCUGCAGAUGACUCAACUUUUCAAAUAGAAACUCGAGAUUUUCUUCGUGGUCUAUAGAAGGUUCCGCGGUUUCCUGUGAUUCAAGCAUUCUCUAAAUGUCUGUUCCCACCUAAGUGAAAAAUCGUUUUUAACAACAGAUUAAAUCCGUGAAUUUUAACAGACAAUUUGUUUGUCACUUACUGAUUUGUCGAAAGAUUUUUCCAGUUUCGUUUCGCAUGUACGAGUCUCCCAAUUUGUUCGUUGUUAAUUCGCACGCGUGUUGCUGUUUUGACAAGCCGAAUCGAACUUCAGCAAAAACUUGAAAAGUCACACGAUUGCUUCACAACACUAUAUUUAAACAGUGACUCAUUGACGACUCUUUUUCUUUAAAAUACACUUUAUUAUCACUACUUCCGAGAUAAAACAAUAAGAUCACCGACACCGUUUCAGUUUCGUUGCACGAACGAUGUGAUUGUAAUAUUAUGUUGUCGCAUAAUAUUCGCUGUUUUUAUCGAAUAAAACGAAAUGCCGCUUGCGUCUGUUCCAUAUCUAAACAAACUCAUAUUCGCGUGUAUAUUUUCGUGUGUAUGUUAGACGAGUUACGAUGGUUACGAUACAUAAACAGUUUCAUAGUAAUGACCGUCACAUUAUGUUGGCGCUGGUAGUAAUUCUACGACACACCGUUUUGAAUGGGCUUUGUAUGGAUAGAUUUGAGUGCGGUUAUUGUUGAUGCUUGCUGGAAAAGAUAUUGGACUUUCGGUCUCGGACAAUUUUUUUGUUUCGUAUGAGGAUGUAACGUGAUUGCGUGUGUUCGUUUGAGAUUUUAUGUUUGGUUAUUUGAUUAAUGUGGACAUUUUUCAACGAUAAACUUUUCGGUCAUGAGCGCU